rnacentral:rRNA from 1 species
CCUACGGGGGGCUGCAGUGAGGAAUCUUGCGCAAUGGGGGCAACCCUGACGCAGCGACACAGUGUGGAGGAGGAAGGUCUUCGGAUUGUAAACUCCUUUUAUGAGGGAAGAAUAGAUGACGGUACCUCAUGAAUAAGCACCUGCUAACUACGUGCCAGAAGCAUCGGUGAUGCGUAGGGUGCAAACGUUAUCCGGAUUUAUUGGGCGUAUAGAGAAGCGUAGGUGUUCUUGUAAGUCUUUAGUUAAAUACCACGGCUCAACCGUGGAGAAGCUUUGGAAACUACAGGAAUUGAGACAGGAAUGGGCGAAUGGAAUUCCCAGUGGAGCGGUGAAAUGCGUUGAUAUUGGGAGGAACAUCAGUGGCGAAGGCGAUUCGCUGGUCCUUGUCUGACACUAAGGCUCGAAAGCGUGGGGAGCGAAACGGAUUAGAUACCCUAGUAGUC